CGCGUAGGCGGGCUAAUCAGUCUGUGGUGAAAGUUUGCGGCUUAACCGUAGAAUUGCCGUGGAUACUGUUAGUCUUGAGUUCGGAAGAGGAAAGUGGAAUUCCUGGUGUAGCGGUGAAAUGCGUAGAUAUCAGGAAGAACACCGGUGGCGAAGGCGGCUUUCUGGUCCGAAACUGACGCUGAGGCGCGAAAGUGUGGGUAGCGAACA
rnacentral:rRNA from 1 species